rnacentral:rRNA from 1 species
AAAGCGUGCGCAGGCGGUUAUGUAAGACAGAUGUGAAAUCCCCGGGCUCAACCUGGGAACUGCAUUUGUGACUGCAUGGCUAGAGUACGGUAGAGGGGGAUGGAAUUCCGCGUGUAGCAGUGAAAUGCGUAGAUAUGCGGAGGAACACCGAUGGCGAAGGCAAUCCCCUGGACCUGUACUGACGCUCAUGCACGAAAGCGUGGGGAGCAAACAGGAUUAGAUACCCGAGU